AGGGAUUUAAGCUUGCUUAAAUUGUCAGCUAAGUGGCGCACGGGUGAGUAAUAUAUAGGUAACGUGCCCUAGAGAAGAGGAUAACAUUUGGAAACGAAUGCUAAUACUCUAUAUGCCUUUAAGUCAUAAGACUGCAAGGGAAAUAUUUACAGCUCUAGGAUCGGCCUGUACGGUAUCAGCUUGUUGGUGAGGUAAUGGCUCACCAAGGCAAUGACACCUAACUGGUUUGAGAGGAUGAUCAGUCACACUGGAACUGAGACACGGUCCAGACUCCUACGGGAGGCAGCAGUGGGGAAUAUUGCACAAUGGACGAAAGUCUGAUGCAGCAACGCCGCGUGGAGGAUGACACAUUUCGGUGCGUAAACUCCUUUUAUAUAGGAAGAUAAUGACGGUACUAUAUGAAUAAGCGCCGGCUAACUCCGUGCCAGCAGCCGCGGUAAUACGGAGGGCGCAAGCGUUACUCGGAAUCACUGGGCGUAAAGAGCGUGUAGGCGGGUUAAUAAGUCAGAAGUGAAAUCCAAUAGCUCAACUAUUGAACUGCUUUUGAAACUGUUAACCUAGAAUAUGGGAGAGGUAGAUGGAAUUUCUGGUGUAGGGGUAAAAUCCGUAGAGAUCAGAAGGAAUACCGAUUGCG
rnacentral:rRNA from 1 species